AUUGAACGCUAGCGGGAUGCUUUACACAUGCAAGUCGAACGGCAGCGCGGACUUCGGUCUGGCGGCGAGUGGCGAACGGGUGAGUAAUGUAUCGGAACGUGCCCAGUAGCGGGGGAUAACUACGCGAAAGCGUAGCUAAUACCGCAUACGCCCUACGGGGGAAAGCAGGGGAUCGUAAGACCUUGCACUAUUGGAGCGGCCGAUAUCGGAUUAGCUAGUUGGUGAGGUAACGGCUCACCAAGGCGACGAUCCGUAGCUGGUUUGAGAGGACGACCAGCCACACUAGGACUGAGACACGGCCCAGACUCCUGCGGGAGGCAGCAGUGGGGAAUUUUGGACAAUGGGGGCAACCCUGGUCCAGCCAUCCCGCGUGUGCGAUGAAGGCCUUCGGGUUGUAAAGCACUUUUGGCAGGAAAGAAACGUCGCGGGCUAAUACCCCGUGGAACUGACGGUACCUGCAGAAUAAGCACCGGCUAACUACGUG
rnacentral:rRNA from 1 species